CUGCCCAAGAGACUGGGAUAACACCUGGAAACAGAUGCUAAUACCGGAUAACAACACUAGACGCAUGUCUAGAGUUUGAAAGAUGGUUCUGCUAUCACUCUUGGAUGGACCUGCGGUGCAUUAGCUAGUUGGUAAGGUAACGGCUUACCAAGGCAAUGAUGCAUAGCCGAGUUGAGAGACUGAUCGGCCACAUUGGGACUGAGACACGGCCCAAACUCCUACGGGAGGCAGCAGUAGGGAAUCUUCCACAAUGGACGAAAGUCUGAUGGAGCAACGCCGCGUGAGUGAAGAAGGGUUUCGGCUCGUAAAGCUCUGUUGGUAGUGAAGAAAGAUAGAGGUAGUAACUGGCCUUUAUUUGACGGUAAUUACUUAGAAAGUCACGGCUAACUACGUGCCAGCAGCCGCGGUAAUACGUAGGUGGCAAGCGUUGUCCGGAUUUAUUGGGCGUAAAGCGAGUGCAGGCGGUUCAAUAAGUCUGAUGUGAAAGCCUUCGGCUCAACCGGAGAAUUGCAUCAGAAACUGUUGAACUUGAGUGCAGAAGAGGAGAGUAGAACUCCAUGUGUAGCGGUGGAAUGCGUAGAUAUAUGGAAGAACACCAGUGGCGAAGGCGGCUCUCUGGUCUGCAACUGACGCUGAGGCUCGAAAGCAUGGGUAGCGAACAGGAUUAGAUACCCUGGUAGUCCAUGCCGUAAAC
rnacentral:rRNA from 1 species